AUGGAAUUGAGGAUCCUUUCCCCAAAUGAUCGACUAUGAUUAUACUUAAUGGAAAACAAAGGAGCCUCCAA
rnacentral:snoRNA from 1 species